rnacentral:tRNA from 1 species
UGGGAAGUGGCUCAGUGGUAGAGUGCUUGCCUUGCAUGCAUGAGGCCCUGGGUUCGAUUCCUCAGCAUCACAU